GCCCGGGUGGCUCAGUCGGUUGAGCCUCCGACUUCGACUCGGGUCAGGAUCUCACGGUUCGUGAGUUCGAGCCCCGCGUUGGGCU
rfam:Felis catus isolate Cinnamon breed Abyssinian chromosome X, whole genome shotgun sequence.